rnacentral:rRNA from 1 species
GGGCCCGCACAAGCAGCGGAGCAUGUGGUUUAAUUCGAAGCAACGCGAAGAACCUUACCAGGUCUUGACAUCCAGUAAAACUUGUAGAGAUACAUCGUGACUUCGGUCAUACUGAGACAGGUGGUGCAUGGUUGUCGUCAGCUCGUGUCGUGAGAUGUUGGGUUAAGUCCCGCAACGAGCGCAACCCCUAUCGUCCGUUACUAACACGUCGUGGUGAGGACUCAGACGAGACCGCCGGGGACAACUCGGAGGAAGGUGGGGACGACGUCAAAUCAUCAUGCCCCUUACGACCUGGGCUACACACGUGCUACAAUGGGUACAACAAAGGGUAGCGAAGCCGCAAGGUGGAGCCAAUCCCAUAAAAGUACUCUCAGUUCAGAUUGUGGGCUGCAACCCGCCCACAUGAAGUUGGAGUUGCUAGUAAUCGCGAAUCAGCAUGUCGCGGUGAAUACGUUCCCGGGCCUU